rnacentral:rRNA from 1 species
GGACCCCUACGGGGCGCAGCAGUGAGGAAUAUUGGUCAAUGGGCGCGAGCCUGAACCAGCCAAGUCGCGUGAGGGAAGACGGUCCUAUGGAUUGUAAACCUCUUUUGUCGGGGAGCAAAAGACGCCACGCGUGGCGUUCCGAGAGUACCCGAAGAAAAAGCAUCGGCUAACUCCGUGCCAGCAGCCGCGGUAAUACGGAGGAUGCGAGCGUUAUCCGGAUUUAUUGGGUUUAAAGGGUGCGUAGGCGGGCUGUUAAGUCAGCGGUCAAAUGUCGGGGCUCAACCCCGGCCCGCCGUUGAAACUGG